CAGUCGCCGCGGUAAUACGGAGGGUGCAAGCGUUAUCCGGAUUUAUUGGGUUUAAAGGGUCCGUAGGCGGACUUAUAAGUCAGUGGUGAAAGCCUGUCGCUUAACGAUAGAACUGCCAUUGAUACUGUAAGUCUUGAGUAUAUUUGAGGUAGCUGGAAUAAGUAGUGUAGCGGUGAAAUGCAUAGAUAUUACUUAGAACACCAAUUGCGAAGGCAGGUUACCAAGAUAUAACUGACGCUGAGGGACGAAAGCGUGGGUAGCGAACAGGAUUAGAUACCCGUGUAGUCCCUGUCUCUUAUAA
rnacentral:rRNA from 1 species